UUCUGCAAUUUUGUCCAGUACCUUGUCAAUGAGCUUGAAUAUACCAUUUUUUAUUGUUGUCGAACAAUUUACUAUUUCUAAUCCUGACAUUUUAGCAUGAAUAUUGGCCGAACAUGAAUCUUUCUUAACUUGGUUUUGGUUGAUGUUUCUGGGACCCCUAUCAAAUGUUUUUCUAAUUUUUAUUGUUUUACUAUUCGCUACGCGUGCGUGACUAGUGGCGGAAGCUCAGGGUAUGCCAUAUAUGCAAAGAAGAAUAAAAUUCAUGGCACUUAUUUCAUUCACAUUGUCGCAUCUUCUUCUGUGUUUUCCUCAGUAUAUUUCCUUCAGAGCAAAUCUUCUUUUGCUUGACAUAUUCUUUAUGCUGCAUGUUCUAUUUUCUUUCUCUUAUUUGUUUGUGUAUACAGAUAGUCUCACCGCUCAUGAUUGCCUUCACAAACCUGCAACUUUUUCUGUAUAGAAGUAACUUUUGAAUUAUAUAUUGGUAGUAAAAGGGAGUAACUGAUAAAUUCUUAUGGAAGUGAUAUCACAAGCUUACUUAGAGCAACUCCAACACAUUCCUCAUACCCACUUUUCACUAAUUUUUUGAGGAACUUCAAAUUUAAACCACCUCCAACAGGAGCUUCAAAAGUGCCUGAAACUUUAGGAGCUUCAAAUAUUUCCUCAAACAUGUGGAGUGUUACCUCCCUCCUCAUUCCAAUUUUAUAAUGAUGGCUUUCAGAGGAAGAGGACGUGGUGGUAGAUUUGGUGGUGGCGGUGGUCCCUGUCAUGCAGAGAAAAUAAAAUUUGAACAUUUUCCAGAAAUCGAUAAUUUGCCUGAUGUCCAAAAUGUGAAAGAAGAACGAGUUCUCUUUUUCUGGAGUCACCGGUUGCAACUAUCAUGGAAAUUGUCUCCAUAUUAUUACAAGGGUGUGGGAAAUGAUGCUGAAGGCUGUGAAAGCAUAGAUAUUGAAAGGUAUUCUGCUAAAGAUUCAAGAAAAACCAGGCGUAAGCCCACACUUUCAGACUGCAUAAAGAUGACUGAUGAAUAUGUUCCUGCAGAACUAGCUGUAAAGCACCAACGUGGUCGAAAGAGAGUGCGAUGGAAUCAAGAGUCAGAUAUGCAAAAGUUUGAUAUCUUUGAGAAUCUUGAAAAGAAGUCCAAGACGGAAGAGGAUAAGAAAGAAGGUGAUGCUGCAGAAGAGGAGGAGGAGGAGGAUCUUGAAGUGGAAGAUGAAGAAUUCAGCGAUGGUGAAUAUACUCAGUAAUUGGUGUUGCAGUAAAAAUUGGCAACAUGUACUUGAAGCUACCAAUACACCAAGGUGAAAAUUUGUUGGCUGCAAAGCUGGACACCAUAUCAGCAUGACUAUAUUGAAUAUAGAUUUUGAUGAUGAUGAAGACGACUUUAACAUGGCUGAUGAUCACAAUGAUGAGCCAUUUUUUUGAAGAUUGCUCAUGCGGAUAUACAUCUCAGCUUUGCGCAUGAUUUCCUUUAUUACCUCGAUAACUAGUUGUGGUAAAGAAUGUCACUAUGGAGGCAAAGGGGUGCCUCAGUGAGUGACUUGUGAAAUAUCAGCACAGGUGUACUAAGAUUUGCCUUUUACCCUAUGAACCAUAUGGUAAAAUUAUCCUAUUAUAUGGUCAACUGUGACACGAGUGGUCUUCCUUCCUUUUAAUAUACUAUCGAAUGUCGUGUAGUUGAGGAUGUAGACUUGAGGUUUCAGUUAUUUGUUCUAGUUUUCAAGUAAUUUUCUGGGGUAAUUUUUUUGGUUUUUUUAAUUUUUUUUAUCAUGGCUUGGUUUGUUUCAUUCUAUUAUGGUUUGUCAUUCUAUUCAUUAUUUUGAAGUUUGAAUGGUACGUGACAGUGAGCCAAAGUUUUAUUGGCUUGAGGAGGAUCAAACUAUAGUUCGGUCCUUUCACGUCUUUCAUUUAUAUCAGAGCUUAUUGCAUUUUGUAACCCA